rnacentral:rRNA from 1 species
UCUUGGUCAAUUAGAGGAAGUAAAAGUCGUAACAAGGUCUCCGUAGGUGAACCUGCGGAGGGAUCACUACAGGCUUGCAAAAGCUCUGAAACCACUGUUUAUCUACCUGAAUCUGCUUCGGCGGGCGGCCCCAGGGCGGGGCCGUAGCCGCAAGGCGCCCGCCGAAGACCCCUAAACUCUGUCGUCUUGAGAAUCUCUGAGUAUCAUAUUAAACAAAAAACAACUUUCAACAACGGAUCUCUUGGCUCUGGCAUCGAUGAAGAACGCAGCGAAAUGCGAUAACUAGUGUGAAUUGCAGACCUCAUGAAUCAUCGAAUCUUUGAACGCACAUUGCGCCCGCCGGUACUCCGGCGGGCAUGCCUGUCCGAGCGUCAUUGACAACCCUCAGGCCCUGGUGCCUGGUGUUGGGGCACUACAGCAUGCUGUAGGCUCUGAAAUCCAGUGGCGGGACCGCUGUAAACCCGGGCGUAGUAACUUUACGUCGUCCAGGGUGUUCCGGCGCGCCCCAGCCGUUAAACCCACCAUAUUAUCAAUUUUGGCCUCGGAUCAGGUAGGAUUACCCGCUGAACUUAAGCAUAUCAAUA